UUAAGCGACUAAGCGUACACGGUGGAUGCCCUGGCAGUCAGAGGCGAUGAAGGACGUGCUAAUCUGCGAAAAGCGUCGGUAAGGUGAUAUGAACCGUUAUAACCGGCGAUGUCCGAAUGGGGAAACCCAGUGCAAUUCGUUGCACUAUCGUUAACUGAAUACAUAGGUUAACGAGGCGAACCGGGGGAACUGAAACAUCUAAGUACCCCGAGGAAAAGAAAUCAACCGAGAUUCCCCCAGUAGCGGCGAGCGAACGGGGAGCAGCCCAGAGUCUGAAUCAGCUUGUGUGUUAGUGGAACGGUCUGGAAAGUCCGACGGUACAGGGUGAUAGUCCCGUACACCAAAAUGCACAGGCUGUGAACUCGAAGAGUAGGGCGGGACACGUGGUAUCCUGUCUGAAUAUGGGGGGACCAUCCUCCAAGGCUAAAUACUCCUGACUGACCGAUAGUGAACCAGUACCGUGAGGGAAAGGCGAAAAGAACCCCGGCGAGGGGAGUGAAAAAGAACCUGAAACCGUGUACGUACAAGCAGUGGGAGCACCUUCGGGUGUGACUGCGUACCUUUUGUAUAAUGGGUCAGCGACUUAUAUUCUGUAGCAAGGUUAACCGUAUAGGGGAGCCGCAGGGAAACCGAGUCUUAACUGGGCGUUAAGUUGCAGGGUAUAGACCCGAAACCCGGUGAUCUAGCCAUGGGCAGGUUGAAGGUUGGGUAACACUAACUGGAGGACCGAACCGACUAAUGUUGAAAAAUUAGCGGAUGACUUGUGGCUGGGGGUGAAAGGCCAAUCAAACCGGGAGAUAGCUGGUUCUCCCCGAAAGCUAUUUAGGUAGCGCCUCGUGAACUCAUCUUCGGGGGUAGAGCACUGUUUCGGCUAGGGGGUCAUCCCGACUUACCAACCCGAUGCAAACUACGAAUACCGAAGAAUGUUAUCACGGGAGACACACGGCGGGUGCUAACGUCCGUCGUGAAGAGGGAAACAACCCAGACCGCCAGCUAAGGUCCCAAAGUCAUGGUUAAGUGGGAAACGAUGUGGGAAGGCACAGACAGCCAGGAUGUUGGCUUAGAAGCAGCCAUCAUUUAAAGAAAGCGUAAUAGCUCACUGGUCGAGUCGGCCUGCGCGGAAGAUGUAACGGGGCUAAACCAUGCACCGAAGCUGCGGCAGCGACACUAUGUGUUGUUGGGUAGGGGAGCGUUCUGUAAGCCUGCGAAGGUGUGCUGUGAGGCAUGCUGGAGGUAUCAGAAGUGCGAAUGCUGACAUAAGUAACGAUAAAGCGGGUGAAAAGCCCGCUCGCCGGAAGACCAAGGGUUCCUGUCCAACGUUAAUCGGGGCAGGGUGAGUCGACCCCUAAGGCGAGGCCGAAAGGCGUAGUCGAUGGGAAACAGGUUAAUAUUCCUGUACUUGGUGUUACUGCGAAGGGGGGACGGAGAAGGCUAUGUUAGCCGGGCGACGGUUGUCCCGGUUUAAGCAUGUAGGCUGGUUAUCCAGGCAAAUCCGGAUAAUCAAGGCUGAGGUGUGAUGACGAGGCACUACGGUGCUGAAGUAACAAAUGCCCUGCUUCCAGGAAAAGCCUCUAAGCAUCAGGUAACAUCAAAUCGUACCCCAAACCGACACAGGUGGUCAGGUAGAGAAUACCAAGGCGCUUGAGAGAACUCGGGUGAAGGAACUAGGCAAAAUGGUGCCGUAACUUCGGGAGAAGGCACGCUGGUGUGUAGGUGAAGUCCCUGCGGAUGGAGCUGAGACCAGUCGAAGAUACCAGCUGGCUGCAACUGUUUAUUAAAAACACAGCACUGUGCAAACACGAAAGUGGACGUAUACGGUGUGACGCCUGCCCGGUGCCGGAAGGUUAAUUGAUGGGGUUAUCCGUAAGGAGAAGCUCUUGAUCGAAGCCCCGGUAAACGGCGGCCGUAACUAUAACGGUCCUAAGGUAGCGAAAUUCCUUGUCGGGUAAGUUCCGACCUGCACGAAUGGCGUAAUGAUGGCCAGGCUGUCUCCACCCGAGACUCAGUGAAAUUGAACUCGCUGUGAAGAUGCAGUGUACCCGCGGCAAGACGGAAAGACCCCGUGAACCUUUACUAUAGCUUGACACUGAACAUUGAGCCUUGAUGUGUAGGAUAGGUGGGAGGCUUUGAAGCGUGGACGCCAGUCUGCGUGGAGCCAACCUUGAAAUACCACCCUUUAAUGUUUGAUGUUCUAACGUUGGCCCCUGACCGGGGUUGCGGACAGUGUCUGGUGGGUAGUUUGACUGGGGCGGUCUCCUCCCAAAGCGUAACGGAGGAGCACGAAGGUUAGCUAAUCCUGGUCGGACAUCAGGAGGUUAGUGCAAUGGCAUAAGCUAGCUUGACUGCGAGCGUGACGGCGCGAGCAGGUGCGAAAGCAGGUCAUAGUGAUCCGGUGGUUCUGAAUGGAAGGGCCAUCGCUCAACGGAUAAAAGGUACUCCGGGGAUAACAGGCUGAUACCGCCCAAGAGUUCAUAUCGACGGCGGUGUUUGGCACCUCGAUGUCGGCUCAUCACAUCCUGGGGCUGAAGUAGGUCCCAAGGGUAUGGCUGUUCGCCAUUUAAAGUGGUACGCGAGCUGGGUUUAGAACGUCGUGAGACAGUUCGGUCCCUAUCUGCCGUGGGCGCUGGAGAAUUGAGGGGGGCUGCUCCUAGUACGAGAGGACCGGAGUGGACGCAUCACUGGUGUUCGGGUUGUCAUGCCAAUGGCACUGCCCGGUAGCUAAAUGCGGAAGAGAUAAGUGCUGAAAGCAUCUAAGCACGAAACUUGCCCCGAGAUGAGUUCUCCCUGAGACUUUAAGUCUCCUGAAGGAACGUUGAAGACGACGACGUUGAUAGGCCGGGUGUGUAAGCGCAGCGAUGCGUUGAGCUAACCGGUACUAAUGAACCGUGAGGCUUAACCU
rnacentral:rRNA from 2 species